rnacentral:rRNA from 1 species
AGUCUUAUCGGUGGAUCACUCGGCUCGUAGGUCGAUGAAGAACGCAGCUAACUGCGAUAAAUAGUGUGAACUGCAGAAACCUCGAACACAAAAGCUUCGAAUGCACAUUGCACCCAUGGGAGUCUUAUCCCUUUGGUACGCCUGGUUCAGGGUC